UACGGGGGGGGCAAGCGUUGUUCGGAAUUACUGGGCGUAAAGGGCGCGUAGGCGGCCUGCUAAGUCGGACGUGAAAUCCCUCGGCUCAACCGGGGAACUGCGUCCGAUACUGGCGAGGCUUGAAUCCGGGAGAGGGAUGUGGAAUUCCAGGUGUAGCGGUGAAAUGCGUAGAUAUCUGGAGGAACACCCGUGGCGAAGGCGGUUCUCUGGGACGGUACUGACGCUGAGACGCGAAAGCGUGGGGAGCGAACAGG
rnacentral:rRNA from 1 species